rnacentral:rRNA from 1 species
UACAGAGGCCCCGAGCGUUACCCCGGAAUCACUGGGCGUAAAGCGUGUGUAGAUGGUCAUAUUAGUCGUUCGUUAAAACCCAGGGCCUAACCUUGGAAGUGCGGGCGAAACGGUAUGACUCGAGGGUGUGAGAGGUGCAUAGAACUCUAGGUGUAGGGGUGAAAUCCGUUGAUAUCUAGGGGAAUACCGAAAGCGAAGGCAGUGCACUGGCGCAUUCCUGACAUUGAAACACGAAAGCGUGGGUAGCGAACGGG